rnacentral:lncRNA from 7 species
AGAUCUUGAAAGCCUGAAAGGAAAGGAGAACUGACAGAUCAACUCCGUCUCCAGAGUCUGCUAUUGAAAUUCACAGGACGUGGUAUGGCUUUGUAAGGAGGCCACGGGAGCAAUGUGUUGUUUAUGGAUAAGUACGGUAGCUCGGCCUACAGACUUGCCAUGUGUUUGAUGCAGCUGUGCUCAGAGAGGAAACUUCAGGAGCCAAGGAGUGUGAUUUCUCAAUAACCUGAUGGGCAGCAGUGCUGCUCUGCCAGCUGCUGACCCAGCACCAUGAGGAUACUCAGAUCCCCUGGAUAUUCUUCUUACUAGAAUAAAGCUACCUGGAACUACUGCUUGGUUCCGGAGGAACUUGAAGCAACUCUCUGCUCAGCUCCCGCUGGUGAAAAAGCAGCCCUAUCCACUGCUCACUGUGAUGGGAAGAGAAGAAGUUGACAGCAACCUUUGGGCAUUCUGCUUCCUCCUCUUUCCCCAUCAGACCUUCCCUUUUGUAGUACAUCUGGAGGGCCACGAACAGCCUUGACAACAUCCCCAGAGGUCUCCUGCUUUCAAAAUGCCACGCGUUGAGCCUAUAUUGUAGUGAGCUGAGAUACUAACUUCAUGUGAGAUGAACUUCACGUGUGUUAACCUGAUGAGCUAGGUCUUGCCAGUGCUGUGAAUAGGUCUGGCUGUAGAAAACGCUUCUGGAGUGAGCAAAAAUUGCUCAUAUUCAGCUAAAUAUUCUGAAAACAGAAAGGCCUGCAGAGGAAGUGAACCUAGCAGCUAUCCAUAUAUUACUCAAACAUGACCACAUGCAUUCCGCUCUGUUUCUCAGCAAACCCCUCUGAAAAGGCUGUGCAUACGUCUUACUUCACAUGCAAGCGUUGACCUUUCCCAAUGAUGUCAGAGGAGAGCAAGCCAUAGGCCUGUUACAGAGCCCUGUGUCUCAUAUGCUUGUCCCAGCCACUGGGUGCUUUGUGAUGGACAUGCAGGGAUCGCAUACAUUUUCUACAGAAAGAGAGACCUGUCACCAUGGUGCUGGGCUCAGAGAGCUGCAGAGCAAGAGCUUCACCGAGCUGUAUGGCUGAAUUGUUCCCUUCUUCAUUGUCCAUUUAAAAAAAUCUAAAUGGAAGAUGGGAAGCUGCCUGCUUGAGGUUUGUGUAUGAAUAAUUAUAGGUACCUGCACUAGCAAGGGACUUUGUGAAAGACGAGUAAAUAGUUGGGCCUCUUCAGGGAAUGUGUGGCAAGCAGGUCAUUUAAAAAUAACUUUUGGAGGCUCUGGGAAGUGGGUGAAAUGAAGUAACAAACAGCUUCUG